rnacentral:tRNA from 14 species
UUGAACCUGUCUGGUGGUGGGUGCAGGCUUCAAACCUGUAGAUGAUUACCGCCGUAGUUGUUCGAUUCAACCUUG